rnacentral:tRNA from 1 species
GCGGACAUGGCGAAAUAGGCAGACGCAUAUGGUUUAGGACCAUAUAUUGCAAAAUGUGAGGGUUCAAGUCCCUCUGUCCGUA